UACGGGGGGAGCAAGCGUUGUUCGGAUUUACUGGGCGUAAAGGGCGCGUAGGCGGCGCAACAAGUCACUUGUGAAAUCUCCGGGCUUAACCCGGAGCGGUCAAGUGAUACUGUCGUGCUAGAGUGCGGAAGGGGCUACUGGAAUUCUCGGUGUAGCGGUGAAAUGCGUAGAUAUCGAGAGGAACACCGGCGGCGAAAGCGGCGCACUGGACCACAACUGACGCUGAGGCGCGAAAGCUAGGGGAGCAAACAGG
rnacentral:rRNA from 1 species